rnacentral:rRNA from 1 species
UCGAGGAUCAUUCGCAAUGGGCGAAAGCCUGACGAUGCGACGCUGCGUGGAGGAUGAAGGCCUUCGGGUUGUAAACUCCUGUCAUGAGGGGAAAAGGUGCCGGGUGUUAAUAGCAUCCGGCCUCGAUAGUACCUCAAGAGGAAGCCACGGCUAACUCUGUGCCAGCAGCCGCGGUAAUACAGAGGUGGCGAGCGUUGUUCGGAUUUACUGGGCGUAAAGGGCGCGUAGGCGGUUUGGUAUGUCGAGUGUGAAAUCUCCAGGCUCAACCUGGAAAGUGCGCUCGAAACUGCUGAACUCGAGCAUGGUAGGGGAGAGCGGAAUACACGGUGUAGCGGUGAAAUGCGUUGAUAUCGUGUAGAACACCGGUGGCGAAGGCGGCUCUCUGGAACAUUGCUGACGCUGAGGCGCGAAAGUUGGGGGAGCAAACAGG